rnacentral:rRNA from 1 species
UGGGGAAUAUUGCACAAUGGGCGCAAGCCUGAUGCAGCCAUGCCGCGUGUAUGAAGAAGGCCUUCGGGUUGUGAAGUACUUUCAGCGGGGAGGAAGGGAGUAAAGUUAAUACCUUUGCUCAUUGACGUUACCCGCAGAAGAAGCACCGGCUAACUCCGUGCCAGCAGCCGCGGUAAUACGGAGGGUGCAAGCGUUAAUCGGAAUUACUGGGCGUAAAGCGCACGCAGGCGGUUUGUUAAGUCAGAUGUGAAAUCCUCGGGCUCAACCUGGGAACUGCAUCUGAUACUGGCAAGCUUGAGUCUCGUAGAGGGGGGUAGAAUUCCAGGUGUAGCGGUGAAAUGCGUAGAGAUCUGGAGGAAUACCGGUGGCGAAGGCGGCCCCCUGGACGAAGACUGACGCUCAGGUGCGAAAGCGUGGGGAGCAAACAGG